CAUGUUUUGCUAACUAUUCCUCAUAUUUCGUUUACUGAUCUACACUUACAAAUGCGCUUCCAGAGUUUUCAUUUACGCUUCUGAAGUUUUCGUUUACACUCCCUGAGUUUGCGUUCGCUGUUCUGACACAAAUCUCUCGUGGGGGCGGGGCUAGUAGCAGUCUAUUCUCAUUGGCUACUGAGUUUUUGAUUGACAGCUUCUUGACCUGGAAGUGAAGACGUCAGUGAGUGUUGUGAUUACACGUUUGGAUGUGAGCGUCUGUAAGCGUAGCUUUCUAUUUCAUUUAGGUGAUAUUAAGUUUAUUUCUUUAUUUAUUUACUGCUACACUAUAUUGUUGAUAUGAUUUCUUAUAGAAGGAAUAGUACAGACAAAUGAUAUAAUUUGUCAUCGUCGAUAUCAGAAUACUGGAUAGCAUAGGCUACUCGUGGUGGAGAGGCAUAUUAGAGCUCAGUGAGAGCCCAUAACAUUAUACAGCAGUGUUGUCUUGAUUUAAUUGGGAUUUGAGCAACUUUUCCACAAACAAAAUUCUGAUGCUGACACAGAGGAUGGAGUGAUAAUACCAGAGAUCAGCGUCUCCAUCAGACUAUAAUGUUACUUUGUUCAGACAUAUCACCUUUGAAUGACUGGGAUCCUUAUCUUCAGACACCUGUUGUAUUUUAUUUUAAUAUUAUAAAAUAGCAAAUAUUUUAAUUUCUUUGGAGCUCUAGAUUAAAACAAACACAGUACACAAGAGGUUGCAGUUUAUUCUUAUUAGUCUCUGCUGAUCAUGGAUUAGCAUACCAACAGCAUAUGAAUGGAAUAGUUCAUCCAAAAAUAAAAUUCUCACUUAUUUUACUCACCCUCA